GUCCUAUGUACAAAGGGAAAGCAGGGUGAAUAAGGCAGGGAGGGCAUCUAUGGUGUCAGGAAGUCAGUGACUGUCUGGAGAAGGUUCAUAACACUAAAUGGUUAUGCAUAAGGACAUACUUUGUGUAAAAAGGCGCACUACCCGUCUUUGUGAUGAUGAUCCAAGACAGCAUAGUUAGCAGUUUAAUGACACAACAGUCCUCAGAUUAUUUCAGUGGCGGGGGAAUUUUAUCAAAUAGUCCACAUAAGGACAUUUUAUCUUAUGAUAAUCUUUCCUACAACCUGAACUCAGCCCAAGCCCCACUCACCCCCAACUUAAAAAACAAAAACCUUUACUGUUCUGUUCCCAACCAUGAAAUAGAUUCCUUAUAUGAUUUCAAUAAGCCAGAAACAUGAGUGACUGAGACGGCCAUGGCCAUGACACUGUUUAUCUGGACUCUAAACAUGUCCAGUCGAUGGAAACACAUACCAGUGUCUCAUAGCCUUACCCAUUUUCAAACCAGUUCGGAAACCACCAGCCCUUCUGACUGCCGUUGUCACCAAGUUCUGGGUUUCUAAGAAAUGAAAAAGAUGAAAAACAUUUUUAGAAAGUGAGGCAGUCCCAGACUGGGGUUUUUCCAAAUUCUUUUUAUGACAGAAAAUGAUUAAACAAAAUUUUUAAAACUGCUGGCUGGUAAAACAAACAGAAGUGAAGCUGCUCCAGGUGAAUGGGAGAGGCCAGGCCUGACAGUGCCCAGACCUCUCCUCCUGGGACAGCUCCAGCACUCGCUCAUCAUCCAGGGAGCCCCGGCAGGGCAGGAGGAGAGAAAGAGAAUGAUGGGGGGGAUGGGGACGACAGUAAUACAUAAACUCAAGUCUUGGAUCUGCCACUUACUAUUGUAUGGCUAUGAUAGGCCAUUUUCCCCUUUCUGAAUCUCCAUUUUUCUCCUCUGAAAAGUAAGAUAAUAAUACUAAUACAGGGUGGAGUAAAAGUAAGUUUAUUUGUGAGUCUACUUUUGCCCCACCCUGAAUAGUAAUAACAAUAAUAAUAAUAAUAACAAUAAACCUACCAUGAAGGCAGCUAAAUGAAAUAGCAUACAUAAAAGAGCUUUCUAAGUUGAAAAUAAAUGUAACAGGUUGUGAUCUUAAUAAAGAAACCAGCGCACCUGUCCAAGAAUGAUCUCUUUUGCUUUAACUAGGAGAACUCAGGUUGCUACAAAGUCAGCAGUCACAGCCUCAGGAAAUCUGCUUAUGUGGUGUAUCACAUUUAUUGUUUGGCAGCUAUUGUCCCCACCUUGAAUCUCCGGAAUAAAUACCACCUGAUUGUGGCGUAUGAUCUUUUUAAUGUGUUGCAGAAAUCUGAGGGUCUCUGAACCAGAAACUCAGAAACCUGUAAUCAGAAGCCACCUUCCCCACCCACAUGCAGAAGUUUCCACACUCAUCUUGAGAGUCUCCCCAAGGGGAAAGGUGAAGGUCUCAGAUGAGUAACAGCUCAGAAGCCCUGGAAAAGCCAUUAUCUCCAGGAGCCGGAAUUGCAGGGGACAGCAGUGGCAGAGGAAACCAAACCUUCCCACAACUGAAGAAUCUUCCUCUGCCCGUGGCCCCUCCCGCAGCCCUGGACCCCAUCCCCUGCUCGCUCCAGCCUCACUCACUCCAGGGCGAUGGAGAUGGAGCCAAAGACUGAGUGACAAUGCUGUGAACAGAAGAUCCUGAAAAUUGAAUAAGCUUCAGGCCCUAACAACACUUGAUGCUCUCAGCUGAAUCAGGCCAGGCCCUGGGCUAACCACUUUGUCAGCAGUUUCUCAA